rnacentral:rRNA from 1 species
GGCAACGUCCAAGUCACAUUGAACCUACCAGUUCUCGUCUGAUCACUGGUCAAGCAACGUUAAGCAUGGUUAGUACUUGGAUGGGUGCCGUUUAGGAACCAUGUGAUGUUGCCC